CCUACGUGAGGCUGCAGUGGGGGAUAUUGCACAAUGGGCGCAAGCCUGAUGCAGCGACGCCGCGUGGGGGAUGACGGCUUUCGGGUUGUAAACCUCUUUCGUCGGGGGGCAAGGCUCUGCUUGGUGGUGGGGUUGAGGGUACCCGGUGAAGAAGCGCCGGCGAACUACGUGCCAGCAGCCGCGGUAAUACGUAGGGGGCGAGCGUUGGCCGGAAUUAUUGGGCGUAAAGGGCUCGUAGGCGGCUUGUCGCGUCUGCGGUGAAAAUGCGGGGCUUAACUCCGUACGUGCAGUGGGUACGGGCAGGCUAGAGUGCGGUAGGGGUGACUGGAAUUCCUGGUGUAGCGGUGGAAUGCGCAGAUAUCAGGAGGAACACCGAUGGCGAAGGCAGGUCACUGGGCUGUUACUGACGCUGAGGAGCGAAAGCGUGGGGAGCGAACAGGAUUAGAUACCCUUGUAGUC
rnacentral:rRNA from 1 species